rnacentral:rRNA from 1 species
CCUACGGGUGGCAGCAGUGAGGAAUAUUGGUCAAUGGGCGCGAGCCUGAACCAGCCAAGUCGCGUGAGGGAAGACGGUCCUAUGGAUUGUAAACCUCUUUUGUCGGGGAGCAAAAGACGCCACGCGUGGCGUUCCGAGAGUACCCGAAGAAAAAGCAUCGGCUACCUCCGUGCCAGCAGCCGCGGUAAUACGGAGGAUGCGAGCGUUAUCCGGAUUUAUUGGGUGUAAAGGGUGCGCAGGCGGUAGAGUAAGUCAGUGGUAAAAUUGAGGGGCUCAACCUCUUCGAGCCGUUGAGACUGGUAUUAUGGAGUGAGUGAGAGGUAUGCGGAAUGCGUGGUGUAGCGGUGAAAUGCGUAGAUAUCACGAAGAACUCCGAUUGCGAAGGCAGCAUACCGGCGCUCAACUGACGCUGAUGCACGAAAGUGUGGGUAUCAAACAGGAUUAGAUACCCUUGUAGUC